rnacentral:rRNA from 1 species
GGUGGGGGGUGGCUUUACACAUGCAGUCGCACGGAUCUUUCGGGAUCAGUGGCGGACGGGUGAGUAACGCGUAGGGAUCUAUCCAUGGGUGGGGGACAACUCCGGGAAACUGGAGCUAAUACCGCAUGAUACCUGAGGGUCAAAGGCGCAAGUCGCCUGUGGAGGAACCUGCGUUCGAUUAGCUAGUUGGUGGGGUAAAGGCCUACCAAGGCGAUGAUCGAUAGCUGGUUUGAGAGGAUGAUCAGCCACACUGGGACUGAGACACGGCCCAGACUCCUACGGGAGGCAGCAGUGGGGAAUAUUGGACAAUGGGCGAAAGCCUGAUCCAGCAAUGCCGCGUGUGUGAAGAAGGUCUUCGGAUUGUAAAGCACUUUCGACGGGGACGAUGAUGACGGUACCCGUAGAAGAAGCCCCGGCUAACUUCGUGCCAGCAGCCGCGGUAAUACGAAGGGGGCUAGCGUUGCUCGGAAUGACUGGGCGUAAAGGGCGCGUAGGCGGUUUAUGCAGUCAGAUGUGAAAUCCCCGGGCUUAACCUGGGAACUGCAUUUGAGACGCAUAGACUAGAGGUCGAGAGAGGGUUGUGGAAUUCCCAGUGUAGAGGUGAAAUUCGUAGAUAUUGGGAAGAACACCGGUGGCGAAGGCGGCAACCUGGCUCGAUACUGACGCUGAGGCGCGAAAGCGUGGGGAGCAAACAGGAUUAGAUACCCUGGGUAGUCCACGCUGUAAACGAUGUGUGCUGGAUGUUGGGUAACUUAGUUACUCAGUGUCGAAGCUAACGCGCUAAAGCACACCGCCUGGGGAGUACGGCCGCAAGGUUGAAACUCAAAGGGAAUUGACGGGGGCCCGCACAAGCGGUGGGAGCAUGUGGUUUAAUUUCCAAGCAACGCGCAGAACCUUACCAGGACUUGCAUGGGGAGGACGUACUCAGAGAUGGGUAUUUCUUUCCGACCUCCCGCACAGGUGGCUGCAUGGCUUGUCGUCCAGCUUCGUGUCGUGAGAUGUUGGGUUAAAGUCCCCGCAACGAAGCGCAACCCUUUGUCUUUUAGUUUGCCCAGCCA